CGGUCAAACGUCACUUCUUGUUUUAUUUUGAUGGAACCAAUGCGCUAUGGCACAGUUGUGUAUGGGACAUAAUAGGGUUCCAGGAAACCAUAACAUGAAAUAACGAAGCUCCCUAAAGGAGUAGUUAUGUAGUUGUUUGAAUAGCAAGAAAAUUUCUUUUCUCCGUUAUUUUCCGGCAGUGCGGAUAUUGCGUCACCAUUGUCGCUACUGUGACGUCUUGUGACGCAUGUGUUUGGCUCCCGUCAAAACAAGAGCGAACGAGCGUACGUAAACGCGGUUGCAUCGUGACGCGAACGGACAGUGGGUGUUCCGCUUGCUUCAGCACGGUAGGGUGCGUACGGACUUCUCUUUCUUGCCUGCUGCGUUACCGAGAAGGGGUUGCUGAGGCACGCUGCCGACGCUGCCAGCCGCAAUUGAAUGUCGCAGGGGACGACCGCCGGAGCGAGGCUUAGAGCACUCGCGAGUUGACGGCUGGCCUCGAUCGUGUGCGGUCGGACGAGCUACCGCGGAUACUUUCAUGGCGGAUGGUCCCGUUCUGUGCUCACUAUGUAAACCACGGACGCGAUUAGGAAGUCGGCACCCCGGAAACGGGCCGCAGGAACCAGCAUGAGUGCCAGCGGUCUAGGCGGCGGCAGCAACACGCUGCGGCGGUCGGCAGGGUCGUCGGACCCGGGCGUCGCCGCCGCGGCGGGCGAGGACGCGGGUGUCGAAUGGCUUUACGAGAUCCUGCGCGAGGUGCAGCUAGAACAGUUUUUCAUGAAGAUCCGGGACGAGCUGCAGGUGACGCGACCGCGCCACUUCGACUUCGUCCAGACCGAAGACCUCGAGAAGAUUGGCAUGGGCAAGCCCGCGGCGCGUCGUCUGCUCGACACGGUCAAGAAGCACCGCGCGUCCCAGUGGAAGCGGAACCUGCUCAACCGUCUGCUUCCCGUCGGCGUCAAGGCCCGGGGCUCGUCCUCGCCACAGCAACAGCAGCCGGGAUCGUCGGUCGUGAUCGGGGCCUCGCCAACGGGCGACCUGAGCACGCUGACGUGCUUGAUCAACGAGAAGGACGUGACGCUGGCGAGCAAGCUGGGCGACGGUUCGUUCGGCGUCGUGGUGCGCGGCGAGUGGGACGCCCCGGACGGCCGCACAAUCCCCGUGGCCGUGAAGAUACUCAAAGAGGACGCUCUGUCCCAACCGGGCGCCUUCGAGGACUUCAUGAAGGAGGUGAACGCGAUGCAGCAGCUGCGCCACCCGAAUCUCAUCCAGCUGUUCGGCGUCGUGCUCAGCGCGCCGCUCAUGAUGGUCACCGAGCUGGCGCCGCUGGGCUCGCUGCGCGACUACCUGCGCAAGCAAUGCCGCCGGCUGCCGGUGUCCCGGCUCGUCGAGUACGCCGUGCAGGUGGCCAACGGCAUGGCGUUCCUCGAGUCGCGCCACUUCAUCCACCGCGACUUGGCUGCGCGCAACGUGCUCCUGGCGGCCGCCAACGCCGUCAAGAUCGGCGACUUCGGCCUCAUGCGCGCCCUGCCCAGUCACGAGGACUGCUAUGUCAUGGCCGAGCAGAAGAAGGUUCCAUUCCCGUGGUGCGCCCCAGAGAGCCUCAAGUCGCGCCACUUCUCACAUGCCAGCGACACGUGGAUGUUUGGCGUGACCCUGUGGGAGACGUUCAGCUUUGGCCAGGAGCCCUGGGUGGGGCUGAGUGGUGCGCAGAUCCUGCAGCGCAUCGACCAGCUUGGGGAGCGGCUGCCCCAGCCCGAGGCCUGCCCCGGGGACGUCUACCAGUUGAUGCUCCAGUGUUGGGCUCAUGCGCCGGCCGACCGGCCCACGUUUCCUGCACUCAAAGACUUCCUUCUCGAAGCACGGCCACCUGUGCUGCGUGCUCUGCGUGCUGUGCAAGAGAACGGCCGGCUAGAACUGGAGCCGGGCGACCUGGUGGAGGUUCUGGACGGCAGGCCCGAGCACCACUGGUGGCGGGGCCAGAGCCAGCGCACCUUCCGCAUCGGGCAGUUCCCCCGUGGUGCCUGCGAGUCCCUGUCGCGUGUCAGCCCACGCGACAUCAGCAGGCCGCUCCGAAACAGCUUCAUUCAUACGGGCCACAUGGACGUGAGCGGCCGCACCUGGGGUGACCCGGGUUCCAUUGACGAACUGUAUCUGCGCAACCCCAUGGAGCCUCCGGACCUGUUGGGCCUUCCUCCCGAGGACGACGAACCACCUCCUCCACUGGCCACACGACUGCAAGAGCUGGCGCGCCGCUCCUCGCAGAACAACCCCAUCACCAAGAGGACGACGCAGAUGCGCCAGUACAGCUACAACCGUUUCGUCGACGAGCGGACCGAUCCCAGCGAGCUGGGAAGACUGAAUGAUGACCGGGUGGCGGCGUCUCCCGUUCGUCUGCUGGCAUUGGGUGCUAAUGGGUCAUCUGAAGCCACUCCAGAGCCCGAAUCCAAACCGAGCCCUGUCAAAGAAGGAGUCCUCAUUGACCUUUGCAGUGAAAUCGACACGACCCUCCAGGUUGCACCAGAACCCGUCCGCAAGUCAACACCAGCCGGUGGGCUGACAUUCCCAAGCGUCGGGGAGUCCAUUGCGACCUACUACAAUGUCUCAUCGUCCAAUGCCGAGCGUCCCUACUACAAUGUUGGAACGCUUGAUGCCAGACCUACGUACUCCAAUCUGGACAGCUCCGAUCGAUACUACUCGUGCGUGACAGCUGAUGGUGCCGCCCCGCUGUCACGUGUCAGCAGUUGCCCCUCGCUGAGCGUUGACGAUCUGCUCUCAACGCCUAACAAUCACGGCAUGAUCGGAAGUAACAAGCCUGCUGCUGCACCACAGGGUUUGUCGUCACUGCCAGUGCCUUCGCAGCUGGACGCCUUUGACUGGCUUGAUGCCAAGAUGGAGGCUGCACGGAAAGCUCAGGCCUCCCCGAAGCACGCGUCACUGUAUGGCCGAUUGCCACCAAGCUCCAUGGGAACUACCAAGAGUGCCACAGUGUGCGGCGUGCCUUUGCUGCGGCCUCCCCCAUCACGGGACAAACGGCUUAGCAGCGGCAGCCGACUGUUCCCCAGCGAUGUGCAGGUGAUGGGCGUGGACCUCCUCCAGCAGCUUCCGCCACCUCCGACGCCCCCGCUUUCGGCACCACUUGCCCAGGUACGGCCGUUCUUGGUGAAUCCUUCAGUGGCGCCCCCACAGUCCGCCGGGUCAAGCCGUCGCGUGGACAAGGAGGAGACCAUAUUGGAGCCGGUGCUACUCCCCUCCGUGCGCGAUAGCCAAGUUCCUGCUGCUGGCUCGUCUGCGGCGGCGGCGGCAGCGCUGUCCCUUCUGCGCUCGCGUCUUCCGGGCAUCUCGGAGUCCGAGUGCCGGCGCGCGCUGGCGCUGGCCCGCGGCAACCCGCAGCUGGCGCUGCAGCAGACCCAGCUGGCACGGCUACAGUCUCUGGGCAUCGCGGGCAGGGGUGAGUGCGAGGCCGCCCUGCGCGCGUUCAACUGGGACGCCGACCAGGCUGCCUCGCACCUCCUCGACGCCAAGGACAGGGCCGCGUGAUCGCUUCCUAGGGUGUACUCGUGAUCCGCCGACUGGCGCUACGCGAGCCUCGUUGGUCUUUACGAAUGCGCGAACGGCAGCGGCGAUCUUUGACCAAGUCUUACAUCGACACCAAAAGUGCUGGCGUGCAGGAACAUCAAACGUGUCUGAACGGAGCACUGGACUCCGAAUUUCACAUUUCUAGUCUGUUCGCGAACUCCGUGUGUCUACUGAACGUUGGGUUCUGGGCACACUUGUGUGAUGGCGCCGCUCGUGGUCUGUAUGCAUCGCGUAGUCUCCGCCUUUGUCGGAACGAAACGCGAUAGAAGAUAUUUACAUCAGGCACAACUGAAGGUGUUGUCACAGUGUUUAGCUAUGUUGAAAUAAGGUGACUUGCAUUUAAUGUGCUCUUGCACCUAUACUUCGCAUUCGUGUUGUCGUCAGGGUCACGUCUGGCGAUUGCGCAUUUCGACGAACUUUAGAUCCCACCGGGUCUUAUAGGAAUCCUUGUUUUCAGUACUUCGUUCUAUGCGGAACACCAGAGCAAAUAGCGUAGCACUUACUUUGCACGGGUCACACUUUAGGUAUAAAUUUGCGUUUGCUUUAAUGCUGCAUAUUUAGCAAUAUAGUUAGAUGCAGUGAAGUGGUGCAAUACAUGCGGAGGGGUGCACUGUACUGGUAAUGGCAACGUCAGUCGUUUGAUUCAAGAAUCUCUUGUGAUUUGAGUAGUAAUUCACAACAGUUUAUAAAACAUGUAAGGCUGCUGGGAGCACAAAGGUCUAGUUAGGCAUGAAUGGGUUAGGUAAAAAAGGAACUAUUAGUAAAGAUUAAACUAUGCUGUCAGCAUAAAAGCGAAUCGCAUUUUAUUGUACUUAUCAUAAACAUGGAGGCAUCUGAUGUACACAAUUUCUUAUUGACUUAAAUUGAUUUGUUGGUAUUGUACACUUGUACAAUAGGGAGUUCCUUGCUAGUGCACAUAUUUGGAGAUGAUGCUGCUUACUCAUAUUGUCAGUUCAUCCAGGUUGGUUACAUUGCUCAUCGCAAAUUCUUUUGAAUUCGGUUUAUAUUACAAAAUAGUACUUGACACUUGAUGGCUAUGCUUUUCUUUAGACACUUGUUGGAGGUUUUGAAGCUGUCAUUCAGUUUUCAUUGAAAGGAAGGGUCUUUCAAUCUCUAAAAUGGUGCAGUGCAUAUCUGUGCUUGAUGUUUUCUUCAUUUUUCAUAAGAGUAAUAGACAUUGUGCAGAAGUUCAAAAUGUUGGCUAGCCGGGCUUGUUGGUACAAACACAUACUUCAGCAAAUAUCGCAAUAACAGGGCAUAGAAUAGGAGCUCGCAGCACAGGCGCUGACUUCCAACAGAUUUGUUUAUUGCGGGAGCGAGGAAUAUAUACAGUUUACGAUCAUAUAUAUUUCGCUCUUGCGAAAUAAACAUAUCUGUGGGAAGUCAGCGCCUGUGUCGUGUGCUCCUUUCCUGUUUCCCGUUUUUGCGCUGUUUGCUGAAGUAUUGUGCAGAAGUUUAUGUAUGCUUAAAGGUUUUCUCAUGAGUAUAUCAAGAAAAGUGGAAUUGAGGAGACAAAGCUCUCUGCGGAUUGCGUGAGGUCUUGCACCUAUAUGUGCUCAGAACAGCGAAAGUGUACAGUGCAGUCCAAUGUUGAAGGGGACACCCAAUGUGUGGCUCUCACUUUACUGGUGCUCUAGCUACAAGUGCUAGCUCAACCUAUGUAAGUGCACAGGUGUGUAGGAAAAUUCGGACGAUGCCAGACUCACAGACAAUUUGCUGAAGUGUGGGGUGAAGGCAUCAUUCGCGUGUGCUCUACACUCAAGUGUACCUUCAACAGGAUACCGCAGUGUAAAUGCAUGGCUAUGAGACGUGCUGGCUUACAAGCGUUAGUACUUGGCUAUGUGAAGAACAGGUUGCACCUGGAGCAGUCAUGCGCUUUCAGAAUACUACGAUGCACAGGCACCAAAGUUUAGUGCUACCAGUGUUGCAAGCAUUUUUAAACAACUCAGUGACCUCUAUUUAUAAAAAAAGACAAUCUAGUAAUGCGACCAAAAGAUUGUCUUGUCAAUAUACCUUUUGUCACAGUGGUGUAUGGCUGUCUGUACCUAGGAAGAGGCGCUUACAAUCUCUUCCACUUUUUUGACAGAUUUGCUAUAGAGUUCAGGGUUGAGCUGACUAGUGUGCACGUCAACAAAGGAAGAUGCCACAGGGAUGAUAGCAUGAAGUCUUGCGAUGCAUCGAGGAACUCCCAAUUUGAGCCUUGUUAAUCAAUUUAAACAACGAAGAUAUCAUUAGAUGUUGCCAUUAGGCACAUGAGGUUGAAAUAAUGCAGUGAUUUUCUAGAGUGUCUGUGUCAAAAAAAUUAGGUGCCACUUCUAUUGGCGCACAAUUGAAGAAAGUUACCUUCGGUCUGGCUCAAUGGAGUUGAUAUAGUACUGUGUCAAUGACAAUUUUACCAACUUGGGCAUCGGCUAAGAAAAAAUACAAAUACCUUUUUCUAAAUGAAAUUCCAAGAGAUUUCUUGUCUGAAAUGGAUGAAGCUAAUGAAUGGAAUUAUAGACAAUAUAAUAUUCUCAUUUGGUCUUGUGAGAGGAAGAUAGUACUGUAGACUGUGUCAAUAUAGUUGUGCUAAAAAUAGCUAUAUGAGCGUAAAAUAGCCGUACAGUCGCAAGAAAAUAGGAAAAUAUUUACCUUUGUACUUGAAUUUGAUAGAGGAGUACUUUGAGAGUUUGUAUGUUUAGAUAUAGAAAUAUGAUCGAAGCUGCCAUUACAUGUAUACAACAAUAUUUUAUUUCCUUGUGAUAAUUAAAACUUUGACAAGGCAGCUUCUGAAGUUGCACUUAAGUUGAAAAGCUAGGCUGAUUAGUAAAAAAUAGAAUACGCUGAUUAGUGAUAAGAGCACCUCAUCUGAGAAUGAUUUAUGUUGUGUCUUAUUUAGUUCACAUGAAAAUAAUUUCCAUCCGGACAGAACGAUGGGACAUCAGCACAGUUCCGCGUGUGUUGCUUCAAAUUAAACUUUUAAGAUGCAUCCCACAUUUUUUGCUGGAAUCUUUUUUGUGUAAGUACCUUUUUGCCAAGGAGACCGGCUCUUUCAAAUGCCAAAUUCUGUCUCGUAUGUAGUGCAGGGAAGAAUUAUCAGAAGCAUUGAGUCAUCAUUGUAGCCACCUACAUAAUGGUAAUUAAUAUUUGGAUGAUAGAGAUUUCGGCAUCCAUAUAUCAGCCAGUGCAACAAUAGCAUGCGGUUGUAUAAAUAUGGUUCAUGCUUUCCCCGGGACCAGUGUGAAAUUGGUGGGCUACCAGUUUGUAAGCUAAAUGUAGAUCGUACAAUCUACGUACAUAUGCUUUUCAAAUUUGCAACCUUAUUGCCGAUGCGGAUAUAAGGAAAAUGACGUGACCCAUAGUAGCUGAGAAAUGCAUAUUUGUUACAGCUGCUUCCAGCAGUUAAUUCAGUACAAACACUGAUCACAUAAGGCAUUUGGGAACAGAAAAUUUGUGUGAUGCAUAUGUUCUAGAUAUACCUUUGUGUCCGUGGAAAGCACACAGACAAUGCGCAUAAUAUAUCCUCAGGGUUACUGAAAUAUUCUCUGUGAAUACGUUUGAUGUUGUAUGUUAAUUUUUCAAGUUAUGCAUUUAUUUGUCUGAGGGCCUCAGUGCUAGUGUUUUGCCGUUCAUGCUGACUGACGCGCACCUUACUACUAUGUUUUUAUAAGACGAUCGAGCAGGUGGUAAUCUUGCUAAGCUAGGUUUAUUAAAUAAACGAACUACUCAAUAUACCAUCUAUUUAGCGUUCAUGUUUUUCAGUUUGCUAUUUGUUGCAGCUUUGGUUUGGUUGCAGAAUGGCAUUCAAUAUUUUUAUUAUUUCUUUUGAUAUAGUGGCCGCAGGAAAGGAAAGUGGAACAAAAUUUAUAAAAACGGAAACGAACACUAAGGAAAUGCAGCUUUUCUUGCCUUGUCUCCAUUUAAGCAAAUUUUUAAUUUGCGUUUCUAGUGCCAGUAGAAACUGGGGUUGGUUUGAUGAAUAUGCGUUUCGCAGUAAAAAAAAUUAAUAGUUUCCAGAUUGAGUCAUUGAUGUGAUUGUAAUACGUUCACAAAUAUAUCUUGCUGUUCUGCAGUUCAUAGUACAGGGGCAAGUGUGCCUGUGUAUGCUGAGAAUAUGUUGCAUGUAUAUUAAAGGCACUUCUUUGCUUGCGAAAGCUAGACACUCGAUCUGAAGGGCCUAGGAGAAGUUGUUUCACUGUUUAUGUGUGAAUAUUACAUCUUGUGCUGGUGCUUAUGUGCCUGCAGUAGCGGAAUAACAUCGUUAUUAUUUUUUAUUUUUCUUGUGGCAAGUUUGGUAAAUCAGCUAAUUUAUUCUGUUUAUGUGUAAAUGUGUCACUCAGAAUUACACCCAUGGUGGUACAUGUGCCACCGUUUGGCGUCGUGUGUUCAGAACUCGUACCUUGUCUACGAUUUGGCUUGCCAUGAAAGUGAGAAGUAAGGUGCUCAUGGACGCCUCGUCUUCAUUGGUGCUUCAUUAUUUGCAGACGCGGUGAAGGCGCUCCUGUGAAGGGCGCUCUAAUUGAAUACCGUUGUUCAAUCUGUUACGAUUUGUGUAUGAAAUUUGCGUUGUUUAAGAAUUGGCCAGUUACUGGGUGGUUUAAAAAUCGGCCAGUUACUGGGGGAUCAAUACUAUUUCCUUAACUUGUGCAAACAUGUCGCAGAACAUGUUCUUGUGCUGCUGUAUUUCGUUGUUUGUGCUGCUAAAGAAAACGGCUAGCUUGCUAAAGUUCAGUGCCUAAAGAGAUAAUCUCCUUGCACUGUUUUCUCGAUGCUGUUUCUAUUUUGCCUAUGUGUUUGUUGCAUUGGUUGUUGACGAAGAUGAGCUGUAUAAGUGCACUGUUAAGUGGGAGUCAGUUUUGCACUUCGUGUGCCUGUGAUAUUUAUUUAUGGCGUCUUUUUAGAAGGUUUUGCUGGGAUAUCGAUUGAACGUAGUUUUUUGUGUUGUUUAUUGUUUCGUUUGGGU